CCUGGCUCAGGACGAACGCUGGCUGCGUGCUUAACACAUGCAAGUCGAACGCUGAAGCCUGGUGCUUGCACCGGGUGGAUGAGUGGCGAACGGGUGAGUAACACGUGAGUAACCUGCCCCUGACUUCGGGAUAAGCCCGGGAAACUGGGUCUAAUACCGGAUACGACUGCCGGACGCAUGUCUGGUGGUGGAAAGUUUUUUCGGUUGGGGAUGGGCUCGCGGCCUAUCAGUUUGUUGGUGAGGUAAUGGCUCACCAAGACGACGACGGGUAGCCGGCCUGAGAGGGCGACCGGCCACACUGGGACUGAGACACGGCCCAGACUCCUACGGGAGGCAGCAGUGGGGAAUAUUGCACAAUGGGGGAAACCCUGAUGCAGCGACGCAGCGUGCGGGAUGACGGCCUUCGGGUUGUAAACCGCUUUCAGCAGGGAAGAAGCGCAAGUGACGGUACCUGCAGAAGAAGUACCGGCUAACUACGUGCCAGCAGCCGCGGUAAUACGUAGGGUACGAGCGUUGUCCGGAAUUAUUGGGCGUAAAGAGCUCGUAGGUGGUUGGUCACGUCUGCUGUGGAAACGCAACGCUUAACGUUGCGCGUGCAGUGGGUACGGGCUGACUAGAGUGCAGUAGGGGAGUCUGGAAUUCCUGGUGUAGCGGUGAAAUGCGCAGAUAUCAGGAGGAACACCGGUGGCGAAGGCGGGACUCUGGGCUGUAACUGACACUGAGGAGCGAAAGCAUGGGGAGCGAACAGGAUUAGAUACCCUGGUAGUCCAUGCCGUAAACGUUGGGCACUAGGUGUGGGGGGCAUUCCACGUUCUCCGCGCCGUAGCUAACGCAUUAAGUGCCCCGCCUGGGGAGUACGGUCGCAAGGCUAAAACUCAAAGGAAUUGACGGGGGCCCGCACAAGCGGCGGAGCAUGCGGAUUAAUUCGAUGCAACGCGAAGAACCUUACCAAGGCUUGACAUACACCGGACCGUCCUGGAAACAGGUCUUCUUCUUUGAAGCUGGUGUACAGGUGGUGCAUGGUUGUCGUCAGCUCGUGUCGUGAGAUGUUGGGUUAAGUCCCGCAACGAGCGCAACCCUCGUUCUAUGUUGCCAGCACGUGAUGGUGGGAACUCAUAGGAGACUGCCGGGGUCAACUCGGAGGAAGGUGGGGAUGACGUCAAAUCAUCAUGCCCUUUAUGUCUUGGGCUUCACGCAUGCUACAAUGGCUGGUACAGAGAGAGGCGAACCCGUGAGGGCAAGCGAAUCCCUUAAAGCCAGUCUCAGUUCGGAUCGUAGUCUGCAAUUCGACUACGU
rnacentral:rRNA from 1 species